UCGGAUAAGGCUCCAUUUAUUGUAGCAAUUGACGUAGCAGCUCGUGAACUAGGUUGUAGUGGUCAAAGUUGUUGAAGACACAGUCGUGAUUUCUAUUGGAGAAUUUGUGGUCUAUAAUAUGAUUGCUGUAGCGAUUGAAACUUUCUGCACCAUCAUUAGUAUUAGCCGGAGCAUUAAAAACACUCACUUUAUCAGCAUUAGACAGCCAAGUAUCUUUGAAAUAAUCGAAAUAAAUAAGUAUAUUUGAAUCUGUGUGCUUCACAUUAUUUAUUUCUUUAUGAAUAAUUUUUUCUGCUUCAGGAAACAAUGAAGGAGGCAACAGAGGCACAUUCAUCAUUAAAGAUAAAAUGUACUGGGGAGUUUUUAAUUUAUGAAGUUGCCAAUUCCUAAUUAGAGCCUACAAUUAAAAUUACAUAAAAA